UACAAAGGUCCCAAACGUUGUUCGGAUUCACUGGACAUAAAAGAUGCGUAGGCGGUUUGAUAAGUCUGAUGUGAAAUCCCGCAGCUUAACUGCGGAACUGCAUUGGAAACUAUUUGACUAGAGGAAUGGAGGGGAGACUGGAAUACUUGGUGUAGCAGUGAAAUGCGUAGAUAUCAAGUGGAACACCAGUGGCGAAGGCGAGUCUCUGGACAUUUCCUGACGCUGAGGCACGAAAGCCAGGGGAGCAAACGGG
rnacentral:rRNA from 1 species